rnacentral:rRNA from 1 species
AGUCGAGCGGAGAUGAGGUGCUUGCACCUUAUCUUAGCGGCGGACGGGUGAGUAAUGCUUAGGAAUCUGCCUAUUAGUGGGGGACAACAUUCCGAAAGGAAUGCUAAUACCGCAUACGUCCUACGGGAGAAAGCAGGGGAUCUUCGGACCUUGCGCUAAUAGAUGAGCCUAAGUCAGAUUAGCUAGUUGGUGGGGUAAAGGCCUACCAAGGCGACGAUCUGUAGCGGGUCUGAGAGGAUGAUCCGCCACACUGGGACUGAGACACGGCCCAGACUCCUACGGGAGGCAGCAGUGGGGAAUAUUGGACAAUGGGGGGAACCCUGAUCCAGCCAUGCCGCGUGUGUGAAGAGGGCCUUAUGGUUGUAAAGCACUUUAAGCGAGGAGGAGGCUACUGAGACUAAUACUCUUGGAUAGUGGACGUUACUCGCAGAAUAAGCACCGGCUAACUCUGUGCCAGCAGCCGCGGUAAUACAGAGGGUGCGAGCGUUAAUCGGAUUUACUGGGCGUAAAGCGUGCGUAGGCGGCUUUUUAAGUCGGAUGUGAAAUCCCCGAGCUUAACUUGGGAAUUGCAUUCGAUACUGGGAAGCUAGAGUAUGGGAGAGGAUGGUAGAAUUCCAGGUGUAGCGGUGAAAUGCGUAGAGAUCUGGAGGAAUACCGAUGGCGAAGGCAGCCAUCUGGCCUAAUACUGACGCUGAGGUACGAAAGCAUGGGGAGCAAACAGGAUUAGAUACCCUGGUAGUCCAUGCCGUAAACGAUGUCUACUAGCCGUUGGGGCCUUUGAGGCUUUAGUGGCGCAGCUAACGCGAUAAGUAGACCGCCUGGGGAGUACGGUCGCAAGACUAAAACUCAAAUGAGUUGACGGGGGCCCGCACAAGCGGUGGAGCAUGUGGUUUAAUUCGAUGCAACGCGAAGAACCUUACCUGGCCUUGACAUACUAAAA